CUACGGGGUGCUGCAGUCAAGAAUAUUCCACAAUGCGCGAAAGCGUGAUGGAGCGACACCGCGUGCAGGAAGACGCCUUUCGGGGUGUAAACUGCUUUUAUAUGGGAAGAACUCGUGACGGUACCAUAUGAAUAAGAGGUUGCUAACUCUGUGCCAGCAGCAGCGGUAAUACAGAGACCUCAAACGUUAUCCGGAUUCAUUGGGCGUAAAGCGUCCGCAGGUUGUUUUGUAAGUCAAUGGUCAAAUCCUGGUGCUUAACAUCAGGACUGCUAAUGAUACUGCAAAACUAGAGGCUGGGAGAGGAAAGCGGAACUAUCGGUGUAGUCGUAAUAAGCGCUGAUAUCGAUAGGAACACCAAAGGCGAAGGCAGCUUGCUAGAACAGUUCUGACACUCAUGGACGAAAGCGUGGGUAGCGAAGGGGAUUAGAUACCCCCGUAGUC
rnacentral:rRNA from 1 species